UCCUACGGGAGGCAGCAGUGGGGAAUAUUGCACAAUGGGCGGAAGCCUGACGCGCAACGCCGCGUGAGGGAUGAAGGCCUUCGGGUUGUAAACCUCUUUUAUCAGGGAAGAUAAUGACGGUACCUGAUGAAUAAGUCACGGCUAACUACGUGCCAGCAGCCGCGGUAAU
rnacentral:rRNA from 1 species